UCUUGAGAUUUUUAAGUGAUUUUUGACCUCCCUCAAUUUCUGCCAGAACAAUCUUCUCUUUAUCACUCUGCAUUUUUAACUCCUGAGUCUUCUUGAAAAGCAUUCCACAGAUAUUCUAACAAGAGGAGACUGUUCUAUUAUCCCAUCAUGGAGUAUUAAUUGUGAAAAACUUCAAGCAAGAAUUUCACAGCUUGAGAUGCAAACCAAUCAGUUCUACAAACCCUCAAGCUUGCAUGAAUUAUAGGUGCAUACUUCUGGAUCGCAGUGGCAUCAUUAUCUGUACGGUUCAACUCCUUCAGCCAGCUCUCCAGGAGCUCCUCAUCCCAGCUCAUCUGUUGUUUUAAGUUUUCCAGCUUCUUAGUGGUUUUAUUUAUAGUAUUCUAAUAAAAGAAGAGAAAAUUAAAGGUUCAA